rnacentral:rRNA from 1 species
GAAUGGGGAAACCCAGUGUGUUUCGACACACUAUCAUUAACUGAAUCCAUAGGUUAAUGAGGCGAACCGGGGGAACUGAAACAUCUAAGUACCCCGAGGAAAAGAAAUCAACCGAGAUUCCCCCAGUAGCGGCGAGCGAACGGGGAGGAGCCCAGAGCCUGAAUCAGUGUGUGUGUUAGUGGAAGCGUCUGGAAAGGCGCGCGAUACAGGGUGACAGCCCCGUACACAAAAAUGCACAUAUUGUGAGCUCGAUGAGUAGGGCGGGACACGUGGUAUCCUGUCUGAAUAUGGGGGGACCAUCCUCCAAGGCUAAAUACUCCUGACUGACCGAUAGUGAACCAGUACCGUGAGGGAAAGGCGAAAAGAACCCCGGCGAGGGGAGUGAAAAAGAACCUGAAACCGUGUACGUACAAGCAGUGGGAGCCUCUUAAUGGGGUGACUGCGUACCUUUUGUAUAAUGGGUCAGCGACUUAUAUUCUGUAGCAAGGUUAACCGAAUAGGGGAGCCGAAGGGAAACCGAGUCU